rnacentral:lncRNA from 12 species
GGGGGGGGGGGGGGGGGGGGGGGGGGGGGGGGGGGGGGGGGGGGGGGGGGGAAAAAAAAAAAAAAAAAAAAAAAAAAAAAAAAAAAAAAAAAAAAAGCAGUGGGAACGGCAUGGAUUUUUUUCUUUUUCUUCCUUUUGUUGUUUUGUUUUGCCUCAGGCUGGUUGGUUCUGCUGACGUUGAGUUGUCCAGUGUUUACUUUUCUAGUGGAAAAUUGGUUGUCUGCUCUUCAUCAGCAUCAGUUUGGAAUCCAUCUCUCCCGAUGCCAUGGAUCCCCAGCCAUUGCAGCAACAGCUCCUGUAUGAAGUCAGACUGCAUAAUGGAAACCCUGUCCUGGAAGUCUGCUUCCUGUUCCAUUUUACAUUCCUG